AUGGCUGAUGAGUCAUGGAGGCUGCCUAGUUCAGUGCAGCAACUGGCUGCCAGCACACAGGAGCCACCAAGGCAGUACUUGCUCAGAGAGCAAGAACCGCUUGGUGGGAACCUGGCUGGUACCGAGAUGCCGGAGCCCAUUCCAACAAUCGAUCUCGGCCUGCUGUCUGCAUCCAACGAUGCGGAGGAGGCCGCCAAGCUGCGGUCGGCGCUGCAGACCUGGGGAUUCUUCAAGGUUUCUAACCAUGGAAUGGAGACCUCUCUGAUGGAUUCUGUGAUGACCACGUCAAGGGAUUUUUUCCGCCUACCGCUCGAAGAGAAGAGAAAGUACAGUAACAUAAUAGAUGGGAAACAUUUCCAGAUGGAAGGGUAUGGAACUGACCAGGUGAAAACGCAAGACCAAAGACUGGACUGGUCCGAUCGACUGCAUCUUAAAGUGGAGCCAGAGGACGAGAGAAACCUUGCCCUUUGGCCCAUACAUCCAAAAUCUUUCAGGGAUGACCUGCAUGAGUACACAUUGAGGAGCAAGAGAAUCAAAGACGACGUCCUUCGGGCAAUGGCCAAGCUAUUGGAGCUCGAUGAAGAUUGCCUAGUUAACCAGUUUAGCGACAGGGCUCUCACUUUUGCUAGAUUCAAUUACUAUCCUCCAUGUCCAAGACCUGAUCUUGUCUUGGGCAUCAAGCCUCACUCUGAUGUCUAUGCUCUUACGGUUCUUCUAAUGGACAAAGAUGUCGCUGGGCUGCAGUUUCUCAGAGAUGGAACGUGGUACAACGUUCCAGCUGUGUCUAACUACACCUUGCUGAUCAACGUUGGUGUUACAAUGGAGAUAAUGACCAACGGGAUCUUAAAAGGGCCAGUACAUAGGGUUGUGACUAAUUCUGAGAAAGAGAGGAUCUCAGUGGCCGUGUUCUAUGGUCUGGAUCCUGAAAGAGAGAUUGGACCGAUAGCUCAGAUGUUGACUGAGGACCGACCGGCGCGAUACAGGAAAAUGAAGGUCAAGGAUUUCCUAGCCGCGCACUUUGAGCAUUUCUCUCGAGGAGAAAGAGUCGUCGAUUCGUUAAGGAUACGAUCAAGGUUUCUUCAUGCAUGUGCCGGAAAAACUUAA
rnacentral:rRNA from 1 species